AUGAACGCUGGCGGCGUGCCUAAUACAUGCAAGUCGAGCGAACAGACGAGGAGCUUGCUCCUCUGACGUUAGCGGCGGACGGGUGAGUAACACGUGGAUAACCUACCUUUAAGACUGGGAUAACUUCGGGAAACCGGAGCUAAUACCGGAUAAUAUAUUGAACCGCAUGGUUCAAUAGUGAAAGACGGUUUUGCUGUCACUUAUAGAUGGAUCCGCGCCGCAUUAGCUAGUUGGUAAGGUAACGGCUUACCAAGGCGACGAUGCGUAGCCGACCUGAGAGGGUGAUCGGCCACACUGGAACUGAGACACGGUCCAGACUCCUACGGGAGGCAGCAGUAGGGAAUCUUCCGCAAUGGGCGAAAGCCUGACGGAGCAACGCCGCGUGAGUGAUGAAGGUCUUCGGAUCGUAAAACUCUGUUAUUAGGGAAGAACAAAUGUGUAAGUAACUAUGCACGUCUUGACGGUACCUAAUCAGAAAGCCACGGCUAACUACGUG
rnacentral:rRNA from 1 species